GACGAACGCUGGCAGCGUGCUUAACACAUGCAAGUCGAACGGAAAGGCCCUGCUUUUGUGGGGUGCUCGAGUGGCGAACGGGUGAGUAACACGUGAGUAACCUGCCCUUGACUUUGGGAUAACUUCAGGAAACUGGGGCUAAUACCGGAUAGGAGCUCCUGCUGCAUGGUGGGGGUUGGAAAGUUUCGGCGGUUGGGGAUGGACUCGCGGCUUAUCAGCUUGUUGGUGGGGUAGUGGCUUACCAAGGCUUUGACGGGUAGCCGGCCUGAGAGGGUGACCGGCCACAUUGGGACUGAGAUACGGCCCAGACUCUUACGGGAGGCAGCAGUGGGGAAUAUUGCACAAUGGGCGGAAGCCUGAUGCAGCAACGCCGCGUGCGGGAUGACGGCCUUCGGGUUGUAAACCGCUUUCGCCUGUGACGAAGCGUGAGUGACGGUAAUGGGUAAAGAAGCACCGGCUAACUACGUG
rnacentral:rRNA from 1 species